rnacentral:rRNA from 1 species
GAUGAACGCUGGCGGCGUGCUUAACACAUGCAAGUCGAACGAAGUGGCGAACGGGUGAGUAACGCGUAAUCAACCUGCCCUUCAGUGGGGGACAACAGUUGGAAACGACUGCUAAUACCGCAUAACGGCGCAGGGGUUUGCGUCUGAUUAGGUAGUGGGAGGGGUAAGGGGCGACCAAGGCGAUGAUCAGUAGCCGGGCUGAGAAGGGGGACGGCCACAAUGGGACUGAGACACGGCCCCGACUCCUACGGGAGGCAACAGUGGGGAAACUUCCGGAAUUGACGGAAGUCUGGCGGAGCCACUCCGCGUGGGUGAUGACGGCCUUCGGGUUGUAAAGCUCUGUUAAUCGGGACGCGGUACCGGAAGAGAAAGCCACGGCUAACUACGUGCCAGCCGCCGCGGUAAUUC